rnacentral:piRNA from 1 species
UAAGACUUUGUACUGAGUGUGGAAGUUUC